GAAUCCAUAGGUUAAUGAGGCGAACCGGGGGAACUGAAACAUCUAAGUACCCCGAGGAAAAGAAAUCAACCGAGAUUCCCCCAGUAGCGGCGAGCGAACGGGGAGCAGCCCAGAGCCUGAAUCAGUGUGUGUGUUAGUGGAAGCGUCUGGAAAGGCGCGCGAUACAGGGUGACAGCCCCGUACACAAAAAUGCACAUGCUGUGAGCUCGAUGAGUAGGGCGGGACACGUGGUAUCCUGUCUGAAUAUGGGGGGACCAUCCUCCAAGGCUAAAUACUCCUGACUGACCGAUAGUGAACCAGUACCGUGAGGGAAAGGCGAAAAGAACCCCGGCGAGGGGAGUGAAAAAGAACCUGAAACCGUGUACGUACAAGCAGUGGGAGCACGCUUAGGCGUGUGACUGCGUACCUUUUGUAUAAUGGGUCAGCGACUUAUAUUCUGUAGCAAGGUUAACCGAAUAGGGGAGCCGAAGGGAAACCGAGUCUUAACUGGGCGUUAAGUUGCAGGGUAUAGACCCGAAACCCGGUGAUCUAGCCAUGGGCAGGUUGAAGGUUGGGUAACACUAACUGGAGGACCGAACCGACUAAUGUUGAAAAAUUAGCGGAUGACUUGUGGCUGGGGGUGAAAGGCCAAUCAAACCGGGAGAUAGCUGGUUCUCCCCGAAAGCUAUUUAGGUAGCGCCUCGUGAAUUCAUCUCCGGGGGUAGAGCACUGUUUCGGCAAGGGGGUCAUCCCGACUUACCAACCCGAUGCAAACUGCGAAUACCGGAGAAUGUUAUCACGGGAGACACACGGCGGGUGCUAACGUCCGUCGUGAAGAGGGAAACAACCCAGACCGCCAGCUAAGGUCCCAAAGUCAUGGUUAAGUGGGAAACGAUGUGGGAAGGCCCAGACAGCCAGGAUGUUGGCUUAGAAGCAGCCAUCAUUUAAAGAAAGCGUAAUAGCUCACUGGUCGAGUCGGCCUGCGCGGAAGAUGUAACGGGGCUAAACCAUGCACCGAAGCUGCGGCAGCGACGCUGAUGCGUUGUUGGGUAGGGGAGCGUUCUGUAAGCCUGUGAAGGUGUGCUGUGAGGCAUGCUGGAGGUAUCAGAAGUGCGAAUGCUGACAUAAGUAACGAUAAAGCGGGUGAAAAGCCCGCUCGCCGGAAGACCAAGGGUUCCUGUCCAACGUUAAUCGGGGCAGGGUGAGUCGACCCCUAAGGCGAGGCCGAAAGGCGUAGUCGAUGGGAAACAGGUUAAUAUUCCUGUACUUGGUGUUACUGCGAAGGGGGGACGGAGAAGGCUAUGUUGGCCGGGCGACGGUUGUCCCGGUUUAAGCGUGUAGGCUGGUUUUCCAGGCAAAUCCGGAAAAUCAAGGCUGAGGCGUGAUGACGAGGCACUACGGUGCUGAAGCAACAAAUGCCCUGCUUCCAGGAAAAGCCUCUAAGCAUCAGGUAACAUCAAAUCGUACCCCAAACCGACACAGGUGGUCAGGUAGAGAAUACCAAGGCGCUUGAGAGAACUCGGGUGAAGGAACUAGGCAAAAUGGUGCCGUAACUUCGGGAGAAGGCACGCUGAUAUGUAGGUGAAGCGACUUGCUCGUGGAGCUGAAAUCAGUCGAAGAUACCAGCUGGCUGCAACUGUUUAUUAAAAACACAGCACUGUGCAAACACGAAAGUGGACGUAUACGGUGUGACGCCUGCCCGGUGCCGGAAGGUUAAUUGAUGGGGUCAGCGCAAGCGAAGCUCUUGAUCGAAGCCCCGGUAAACGGCGGCCGUAACUAUAACGGUCCUAAGGUAGCGAAAUUCCUUGUCGGGUAAGUUCCGACCUGCACGAAUGGCGUAAUGAUGGCCAGGCUGUCUCCACCCGAGACUCAGUGAAAUUGAACUCGCUGUGAAGAUGCAGUGUACCCGCGGCAAGACGGAAAGACCCCGUGAACCUUUACUAUAGCUUGACACUGAACAUUGAGCCUUGAUGUGUAGGAUAGGUGGGAGGCUUUGAAGUGUGGACGCCAGUCUGCAUGGAGCCGACCUUGAAAUACCACCCUUUAAUGUUUGAUGUUCUAACGUUGACCCGUGAUCCGGGUUGCGGACAGUGUCUGGUGGGUAGUUUGACUGGGGCGGUCUCCUCCUAAAGAGUAACGGAGGAGCACGAAGGUUGGCUAAUCCUGGUCGGACAUCAGGAGGUUAGUGCAAUGGCAUAAGCCAGCUUGACUGCGAGCGUGACGGCGCGAGCAGGUGCGAAAGCAGGUCAUAGUGAUCCGGUGGUUCUGAAUGGAAGGGCCAUCGCUCAACGGAUAAAAGGUACUCCGGGGAUAACAGGCUGAUACCGCCCAAGAGUUCAUAUCGACGGCGGUGUUUGGCACCUCGAUGUCGGCUCAUCACAUCCUGGGGCUGAAGUAGGUCCCAAGGGUAUGGCUGUUCGCCAUUUAAAGUGGUACGCGAGCUGGGUUUAGAACGUCGUGAGACAGUUCGGUCCCUAUCUGCCGUGGGCGCUGGAGAACUGAGGGGGGCUGCUCCUAGUACGAGAGGACCGGAGUGGACGCAUCACUGGUGUUCGGGUUGUCAUGCCAAUGGCACUGCCCGGUAGCUAAAUGCGGAAGAGAUAAGUGCUGAAAGCAUCUAAGCACGAAACUUGCCCCGAGAUGAGUUCUCCCUGACUCCUUGAGAGUCCUGAAGGAACGUUGAAGACGACGACGUUGAUAGGCCGGGUGUGUAAGCGCAGCGAUGCGUUGAGCUAACCGGUACUAAUGAACCGUGAGGCUUAACCUU
rnacentral:rRNA from 1 species